rnacentral:rRNA from 1 species
CCCAGGCAGAACACCUACUACACUGCCCGCCAGAGAAUUACACGCCCCCCAGCGUAAAACUCAAAGGACUUGACGGUGUCCCAUAUCGACCUAGAGGAGCCUGUCCUAUAAUCGAUGAUCCACGAUACACCUCACCCCCCAUUGCACCCUCUCAACCUAUAUACCGCCGUCGCCAGCCUACCUUCUGAAAGCCAAACAACAGUAAGCACAAUAGCUCAUCACUAACACGUCAGGUCAAGGUGUAGUUAAUUGCGGGGCAGAGAUGGGCUACAUUUCCUAAUUUAGGAGACCAUAAGCAACAUGAAACAUCGGCCAAAAGACGGAUUUAGCAGUAAACUGGGCAAGAUCGCCCAAUUGAAGGCCGCCCUGGGACGCGU